GGCCCCAUCGACUAGUGGUUAGGUCGGCGGCCUCUCAAGCCGUAAACACGGGUUCGAAUCCCGUUGGGGCCACCA
rnacentral:tRNA from 1 species